UCAUGAAGCGAACCCUCAGAAAGAGGGGGGAGAUGAAAACACAAUAUGGGUGACCUCAAUUAUUUCAGAAAAAUGAAAUGUAAAAUCCCUUCUACUUUGCCAUCCUUAAAUAGAUUCUUUCUUCACCAGUUGUGAAACUUUCUAAAAGUUCAUCUUUCCUUUUUUCCCUUGAACAAAGAUUCUAAUACAUCCACAUGGUAUUUAUUUUGCUUUUUGAAUGGUGAAUAGACCUUCCGUUCUCUUGGCUUCCCAUCCUUUGAAAAGCAUUUGAAAUACAAUAUCAGUAUGAUACUUCUCAUUGGCCAUGUAUCCUUUCCUAAAAGGCCAAUUUCUACUUAAAGAAAGAGAAACCCUUGGAUUGGAAAGUCACUUCCAGUGAGUGACAACUUAGUUUCAUGGAAGUGUCUUUUCUUUUCAGUCAAUCUCUGAAAUUAUUUACUUCUAGUUAGGAGAUGGGACUAGUGAGAUUUCCCUGGAACCAUGAUUCAUAUUUCCCCAUCAGUUUUGAAAUGAAAUGACUGUGACUCUGCUGAGGCCGCAGUGUGAUGGAAAGAAAAACAGUCUAUUGGAAGUAAAUCUCUUAUACCUGUCAGUCUUCCCUGCUUCAGUUCAUGCCUCUUUGUCCUCUGGGGAAGCAUUAUUUUCAUGGAAAAUUUCUUGUCUUGUGCAAGGUUAUUUUAAAUUUUUUAAAAUUCAAAAUCAUAUUCAAAGUAAUCGAGAUAGAAUCAUAGCCAUCUGUCUGAUUGUGUAAAUAUGAACAGUGAUUAUAUGCUGGAAGACUAUGUCCAGGUUCUUGGGGGAAAGCUAGGGGGAAAAUUUUCUUUUGGAAUUUGUUUUUAAAGACAGAUCAGUUCUCCGAAAGCCUCCACAGCUGUGGAUCAUAGCCUCUGAAGGAGUCGCAGGGCAGCCUUUGCUGACACAGGUGUUGCAGAUUGGGCAUGAGAUACAUUGGAGGCGGAGGGAGGAGGAGAGAGGUCAGACAAGGCGAUGGCCUCUCAGUCAGAGAUGUCAGAGAACAGCGAAUGCCUGUCGGUCUCCUUAUAUCAUCCUCUCACAAGAGGAGAUCCAUUCUAGGUUGGACCUCCAGCAGCCACCAUGUGUGUUCCAGCAACUCUCCCGUGCAGUCCAACAUAUGGCACCUGAACGUGGGGCGAGAAUUACAAGAAGAACCAGAGCUGUUCGUGAGGAGGAUCCUUCCAGAAUUAAGGAAGAAGAGUCCCGAAAUGAGAUGACUCCAACUUUCCUGAGGUCCCAGAGUGAUGGAAUGAAACCAGCCCGUGGGAGUAGAAUCACAAAGCUGCUGCAUUUGGGGUGAUUAUUGAUCUGAACUGAUACUAAGGCUGCCUCCAGAAAACCUCCCCGAGAAACUGACCCUCUGUCUCCCAGAGAGAACCAUCAUCUUCUAUUACAUUAAAGAAGAAAAACACCACAGUGUAUGAAUUAUAUACCUUAUCCUUGCCUCCUGUGAGGGAGGUGGGGCAAGGCUGAACAAUAAAUCCUAUUGUUACAAAGAAUGAGUUCCUAAAUAUCUGGAAUAUGAGACUUUACUUGGGCAAAUUUGC